UACAGAGGGUGCAAGCGUUAAUCGGAAUUACUGGGCGUAAAGCGUGCGUAGACGGUUGCGUAAGUCAGAUGUGAAAGCCCCGGGCUCAACCUGGGAAUUGCAUUUGAGACUGCGUAGCUAGGGUGCGGAAGAGGGAAGCGGAAUUUCCGGUGUAGCGGUGAAAUGCGUAGAUAUCAGGAGGAACACCGAUGGCGAAGGCAGCCCCCUGGGUCGACACUGACGCUCAGGCACGAAAGCGUGGGGAGCAAACAGG
rnacentral:rRNA from 1 species